rnacentral:rRNA from 1 species
GGCUCAGAGUGAACGCUGGCGGCGUGCUUAACACAUGCAAGUCGAACGAGAACGGAUUAUAGCUUGCUAUAAUUGUCAGCUAAGUGGCGCACGGGUGAGUAAUGUAUAGAUAACCUGCCCUUAAGAAAGGAAUAACAGUUGGAAACGACUGCUAAUGCCCUAUAUGCCUUUAAUACAUAAGUAUGCAAGGGAAACGCUUUAGUGCUUAAGGAUGGGUCUGUAUGGUAUCAGCUUGUUGGUGAGGUAAUGGCUCACCAAGGCUAUGACGCCUAACUGGUUUGAGAGGAUGAUCAGUCACACUGGAACUGAGACACGGUCCAGACUCCUACGGGAGGCAGCAGUGGGGAAUAUUGCACAAUGGACGAAAGUCUGAUGCAGCAACGCCGCGUGGAGGAUGACACAUUUCGGUGCGUAAACUCCUUUUAUAUAGGAAGAUAAUGACGGUACUAUAUGAAUAAGCACCGGCUAACUCCGUGCCA